rnacentral:rRNA from 1 species
AGUGAACGCUGGCGGUAGGCCUAACACAUGCAAGUCGAACGGCAGCACAGUAAGAGCUUGCUCUUACGGGUGGCGAGUGGCGGACGGGUGAGGAAUACAUCGGAAUCUACUUUUUCGUGGGGGAUAACGUAGGGAAAAUUACGCUAAUACCGCAUACGACCUACGGGUGAAAGCAGGGGAUCUUCGGACCUUGCGCGAUUGAAUGAGCCGAUGUCGGAUUAGCUAGUUGGCGGGGUAAAGGCCCACCAAGGCGACGAUCCGUAGCUGGUCUGAGAGGAUGAUCAGCCACACUGGAACUGAGACACGUUCCAGACUCCUACGGGAGGCAGCAGUGGGGAAUAUUGGACAAUGGGCGCAAUCCUGAUCCAGCCAUACCGCGUGGGUGAAGAAGGCCUUCGGGUUGUAAAGCCCUUUUGUUGGGAAAGAAAAGCAGCAGGUUAAUACCCCGCUGUUCUGACGGUACCCAAAGAAUAAGCACCGGCUAACUUCGUG